rnacentral:rRNA from 1 species
GUGCCAGCAGCCGCGGUAAUACGAGAGGCCCAAACAUUAUUCGGAAUUACUGGGCUUAAAGAGUUCGUAGGCGGCAUGGUAAGUAGGGUGUGAAAUCCCUCGGCUCAACCGAGGAAUUGCGCUCUAAACUACCGUGCUCGAGGAAGCUAGAGGUGAGCGGAACUGAUGGUGGAGCGGUGAAAUGCGUUGAUAUCAUCAGGAACACCGGAGGCGAAGGCGGCUCACUGGGGCUUUUCUGACGCUGAGGAACGAAAGCCAGGGUAGCGAACGGGAUUAGAAACCCUCGUAGUCC